rnacentral:sRNA from 1 species
AAUGGAGGGUACAUCAACUGGUCAACGACCGUACAUCCGUCUCACUUCUCAACUUCGAAAUGCCACCAAAAGUUCGGGAGACGAGGUUCGGUUUAAGUGCGAAGCACUUGGAACCCCACCACUCAAAUUUAUGUAAGUUUUUUUUUGAAAAUUUGUUAAAUCUUAAAUUUUGAAAAUUAAAAAUUUUGAAUUUUCCAAUAAUUGCAAAACUAUCAACAACCGUCAUACAAAACAUUUAAAAAAUUAUUAAAUAGGUUCAAUAAAUUUUUUUGUUUGGAGGUUUCAAAAUUAAAGUUUGCAACUUAAGAAUAUUUGUUAUAUAUUUGUUUUGAAAUAUAACUCCACCUAUUGGUUGUAAAAACUUCUUGCAGAACCAUUCCAAGCUUGAAAAAACCUUGAAAAAUUUUGUACUUCCUCCAAGUUACAAAACUUUACAAAAAUCCAUUGUAGCUUAAAAUUUAUAUUUUUUUUUGCAAGGCUCAAAAUUCGAUAAAGAUACCUUUUGCUAAAUUUUUAGCCGGACUAAAAACGCUUCAAACUUCCGAAACUCAAUUUUUUUUGAUUUUAGAUGGCUCAAAAACAAUGGUCCAGUGGAAAAGACGAAACGAGUGAAAAUUCGUGAUAAGGAGAAUUCAUCUCGACUAGUCAUUACACAAUUGGACGUAUUAGACAGUGGAUACUAUCAAUGCAUUGUCUCAAAUCCAGCAGCCUCGGUUAACACGACAAGUGUGCUCAGGG